UAACCUGCGUCGGGAGACGCAGCUGAACCGGCAGAAGUCAGCAAAGGCCAUAGUACCGGCAGGGGGACGCCCCAACCGGGAAGGGC
rfam:Symbiobacterium thermophilum IAM 14863 DNA, complete genome.